UGCCCGGUAGCUAAAUGCGGAAGAGAUAAGUGCUGAAAGCAUCUAAGCACGAAACUUGCCCCGAGAUGAGUUCUCCCUGACCCUUUAAGGGUCCUGAAGGAACGUUGAAGACGACGACGUUGAUAGGCCGGGUGUGUAAGCGCAGCGAUGCGUUGAGCUAACCGGUACUAAUGAACCGUGAGGCUUAACCUU
rnacentral:rRNA from 1 species